UUCAAAGUAGCAGCUUGCUGAUUCAUUGGGCUUUUAGUUAAUACGGACGAAGUUAGCAGUGUUCACUUUCACUCUUCUACGGACCUAUGACCUUGACAUCACGCCUGAGCCUCUAUCCUCUCUGCUGCAAUAUUCUUUAAAAGGAUAAGUCAAAACAUCAAAUUUUUCAUUAAAUAUAACUCGAGUAGAUAUUGUCUUGCAUGUAUGGCUGUGCAUUUUGUCCAAAUAUUGAUGUUACGCAAUUAUCCGUCUAGAUUGUAGCAUCUUUAUUACAUCAUCUUAUAAUUUUUUUCUACUAUCUGUUUCUAUAACAGUAUCAUACCUAUUAUUUAAUUAUUUGAAAGCCGGUGUUAAAUAUGUCAAUACAGGAAAAAAUAUAAGGAAGGAUUAUCGUUUGAUAUUAUUAACUCAUCCGAAACUGUUCCAUUUAUCUUCCACUAAAAGUAACGUGUUUGACGAUCGUUGUUUCUAGCUCAGAUAGGAAACUCAGAUUGAUUAGGUGUUAUUAAGUUUUAUUUGAACAGGCAAAGCUCAACUUGCAUUGUAACUGUACUAUUUCAUGCAAAUAGACAGUGUUAGAAGUGCUCUACUUGAUGUUUGUGUUUACAAGCAAUAAUGAUAGUGCGUUCCUAUCUGGAUUAAAUCUACAUUUACAGAAGAUUACAAGCGAUAACAGAAUCUUUACGAAAUAAAGCAAGACCCAAUCUAUAAAUUUUAUUUUGUCAACAAAUCGUAUUUAUCGGGUUCUUUUCAAGAAAAAUUUAUCCAAAUUGAAUUUUUUUAUUAUGACAAAUUUAAAAUUCUCAUUCUUGUACCGUGAUAUUUUAUUAGCAAAUAAUUAUUAUGAUCUGACUAUUAAAUUUGAAUUAUGUUUCAGGCUACAAUACUACUCAUCCUAAACAUGAGAAGAACCAGUACCGUGGCCUCGGUCCUACGUUGAUCCGACGUCCUCUCUGUGACACUUCUCAUCAUAUAACACUUCUUCACGUGUGUUGCAAAACACGCAAAGUAUGAAAGUUGGUUGAAUGGAAAAAAGUGUGACUGAGUGAGUGCGUGUAGAACUACAUUUAACUCAAACAAUAAUUCUCCACUACACAGCAUAUUAAGGGUGAUGUCGUCAAUGUGGCAGGAGGCCGCCCCACUCACACUAAUACACACACGACACAUAUACUAGGUAAUGUAUUGUUUUACUUAAAAAUUGUAUUGUAAGUUUGGCUACAAUAGUUAUUUCAGAAUGGCACAAUAAUGUUAAUUAUA